GCGUCUACCUCGGAUCUCUGGAAUCAUUUCUCUUCGCGGAUUAGGUCCUAGCGCAGCAGCGGAUUAUGUCCGUUGGCGAUGUUUUUGGUCCGCGCAUUAGCGCACGCUCCUAUUGUUGGACAGACUAAAAUGGCGAAAGACUCAGGCAAGAGUGGAGUUAAUCAACGAGCUGAUGCACAGGUCAAUAAUGGCUGUCAAAGAUCAAGUCUUGAACUCUCCAAUGUUGCCAUUUCUUGUCUAAAACCGUUUACUACUAGUAGGUGUACUGUCGAUAUAAGGUAAAAUGGCUGAACGGAUAGCUGAUGCAAGUGAAUUAAUUAGAGCGUAACUAUCAUGUGAUCACGUUUAUGUACGUGUAGUAUCAAGGCAAAUAGAGUGUAGUGGUAGGUCUACCCUACUAGAACAA